ensembl:misc_RNA Y_RNA Y RNA
GGCUGGUCCAAAGGUGGUGAGUUAUCUCAAAGUUACAGAUGGAAGUCCUUGUUCUGCUCUUCCCCUCUUCUCACUAUUGCACUUGACUAGUCUUAA